GCGAGAGUAGUACUAGGAUGGGU
rnacentral:snRNA from 1 species